AAAUGCGAUAAGUAAUGUGAAUUGCAGAAUUCAGUGAAUCAUCGAAUCUUUAAACGCACAUUGCGCCCGCCAGUAUUCUGGCGGGCAUGCCUGUUCGAGCGUCAUUUCAACCAUCAAGCCCCCGGGCUUGUGUUGGGGACCUGCGGCUGCCGCAGGCCCCGAAAACCAGUGGCGGGCUCGCUGUCACACCGGGCGUAGUAGAUUUUUCGUCUCGCCCAGGGCGUGCUGCGGGUUCCGGCCGUUAAAAAGCCUCUCUUUUAACCCAAGGUUGACCUCGGAUCAGGUAGGAAGACCCGCUGAACUUAAGC
rnacentral:misc_RNA from 1 species